rnacentral:rRNA from 1 species
AGAUACCCUACUAUGCCCAACCGUAAACAUCGAUUGCACAUCCGCCAGAGAACAACGAGCUAAAGCUUAAAACUCAAAGGACUUGGCGGCGCUCCACACACCCUAGAGGGGCCUGUCACAUAAUCGAUAACCCACGAUAGACCUCACCACUUUUAACCACACCAGCCUAUAUACCGCCGUCGUCAGCUCAUCUUGAUAGAGGGAUAAAUGAGCCCAAUAGUUCCGCCACACUAACACGACAGGUCAAGGUGUAGCUCACAAAGCGGCAAAUGAUGGACCACAUUGCUUACUAAAGCCAAACCAAACAACCUGAAACAGGUACUUAAGGUGAAUUUAACAGUAAGGCAGACGAGAAAAUUUGCCUAAAGGCUGCUCUGGAGCGUGCACACACCGCCCGUCAC